rnacentral:rRNA from 1 species
GAUGAACGCUGGCGGCGUGCCUAAUACAUGCAAGUCGAGCGAACAGACGAGGAGCUUGCUCCUCUGACGUUAGCGGCGGACGGGUGAGUAACACGUGGAUAACCUACCUAUAAGACUGGGAUAACUUCGGGAAACCGGAGCUAAUACCGGAUAAUAUAUUGAACCGCAUGGUUCAAUAGUGAAAGACGGUUUUGCUGUCACUUAUAGAUGGAUCCGCGCCGCAUUAGCUAGUUGGUAAGGUAACGGCUUACCAAGGCGACGAUGCGUAGCCGACCUGAGAGGGUGAUCGGCCACACUGGAACUGAGACACGGUCCAGACUCCUACGGGAGGCAGCAGUAGGGAAUCUUCCGCAAUGGGCGAAAGCCUGACGGAGCAACGCCGCGUGAGUGAUGAAGGUCUUCGGAUCGUAAAACUUUGUUAUUAGGGAAGAACAAAUGUGUAAGUAACUAUGCACGUCUUGACGGUACCUAAUCAGAAAGCCACGGCUAACUACGUG